GCCAGUGGCCGUACCACCUGCCCUCCAGACUGGAUGAGCCAUCAGAAGCUAAGCAGGGUUGGGCGUGGUCAGUACUUGAAUGGGAAAUCAUUUAAGAAAAGGACUUGCUGCUGGAA
rnacentral:rRNA from 1 species